GGAGUACUGGCUCACUGGGUGAGCGUCUGCUUUGUAUGCAGAAGGUCGCAGGUUCAAUGCCUUGUUUCUCCA